rnacentral:rRNA from 1 species
CACGUAGGGUGCGAGCGUUGUCCGGAAUUAUUGGGCGUAAAGGGCUCGUAGGCGGUUUGUCGCGUCGGGAGUGAAAACACUGGGCUUAACUCAGUGCUUGCUUCCGAUACGGGCAGACUAGAGGUAUGCAGGGGAGAACGGAAUUCCUGGUGUAGCGGUGAAAUGCGCAGAUAUCAGGAGGAACACCGGUGGCGAAGGCGGUUCUCUGGGCAUUACCUGACGCUGAGGAGCGAAAGUGUGGGGAGCGAACAGG